CCCACUGAGGGCAGGAGCUUCCCAGGUGGCGAGGCGGCCGUCUUUUGCACCCGACGUGGAUUCACAUCCCCAGAUGUCCGAGAGAUAAGUCGAGGGCUACACCCCACAGAGGGGAUGAAAGCAGGGUGCUGGGUCGGGACUCAUCAGGAGGGGUUUUUGAAUAAGCUUUGGAGUCGGGGAUGUCUGAGAAAGAGCCCCUUAGGCCACGUAAAGGGGAAGUCUCACUUUUGAUCACAACGCUGAGGUGCGCAGGGCAGAGCAGUCCCAGUGCGUGUCGUGUCACUUGUCUAUUGUGUGUUCUGUGUCUUUUGAGCAUCUUGUGUUGCAUGUCUUUUGCCUUACCCCUUUGAGGGGAUUAUCCAAAAUGCCAGGCAUCAUCCUUAGCAUCUCCAAUUCCACAUUCCUCGGCCCAGUGCCGAUACCGUCGAACCUUUGACUCGCGAGCUCGGCCGCCCAUCGGAAUCGCAUCUCUCUUUAGAAGCGUUGAGUCAGACGUCUUUUAUGGUCUUGUUCUGAGCUGUAUCAGCAGCUGUGCACCACAGUGAUCCAUUAUGGUGGAUUAGGACUUGUAAGGAUGUGGAGAUAGAUAGAGGAUGCUGAUGGUACAGUUCUCAGGCAUCCAUCUUUGUGGUUUUGCCAGGUGGCUCCUGGAAUGAAUCCUUCUGUUGGCGUCUUCUUCUGCCCGGGUUCUUCGAGCCUCAUUGGCUCACUGUCGGUCUUGCCUAGGUCAUCUCCUUCUGCCUUCUCUCGGUCCCUGUGGUCAUUCUUCUUGCUGAGAGUUUUCUCUCCUUGUUGCAUCCCGUCAUUUGUCAUCUCCUGCAUGACAGGCCUCUGUGUGUGCUUGGCCUGGAGCUGCUCUGCCCUGCUGCAUAGUCUGGGGUGUGGGUGUAAUGGGACUAAGACUGUACUGUCAAUUGGCUUGGCUGGUCGAGCCCAUGGUUUUGCAGUCAUCCCACACCUCCAGGUCGAAGGCCUCAUGCGUGCAAUCUGCAGGAGAGUUGUGUCCUGGGGACUUGAAAUUUGUAAUGUAGGGUGUAGUUGGACUCUAGAUGGUAUUCCUAGAUUGAUGCAGGAUGGCUGGAACUGUUAAGUUACCAUGCAGCACCUUGACUUGUGUAAUAACUUUCUUUCAGAGGCAGAUGGAUUAAAUCCCUGGCAGAGUGCCCCAUACCAGGUGAGGGGGUUCCCAUGGGAAGGAAGUAAUGCUGGAUAUUGGCAGUCAAGGUUGAUGGAGUGAGGUGGUCCACUUGCAGGAUGUCCUGGCCCUGGAUGCUGGAGGGUGCAAGCCUAAGGUGCUGCUGCUGCCCUGGGCGUGCCAAGGGCCAGAGGCGAGCAGGUUUGUCCUGGCCACCUCCAGAGUCAGAUCAAGAUUUGAGGUACCGUGAGCAGGUGUGGAGCUGAAGUUUGGAGAGAGCAGGUCCCCAAGGCCGAUUCCGAUCCCUGCAGUCACUGAUGCUACCGCUUUUCCCACAAUCUGCCCUUCCAGGUCAUGGAGCAGCAGUUGGAAGAUGUGUUGAUGUGUCUUUGUCAGUGGAGUGUUGUGACAGCACAGUGCAGCAACCCUGGAACCCUCAGUGCAGCACAGCUCAGUAAGCCUGGUGCUGGGAUAACCCUGGAACCCUCAGAGGAGGACAAGGCCCACACCAAAAAGGUAGGGAUGACAGCUGCAGGCUGGAGAGUGACAGGUACGGGUUGGGGGCUGGGGCGUGUAGAGCAGGAGU